GACGAACCGUGCGAACGUUGUUCGGAAUCACUGGGCUUAAAGGGCGCGUAGGCGGGCCUCCAAGUCCGGGGUGAAAUCCUCCCGCCCAACGGGAGAAGAGCCUCGGAGACUGGGGCCUCGAGGGAGGUAGGGGCGUGCGGAACUAUGGGUGGAGCGGUGAAAUGGCAUUGAUAUCCAAUAGGAACUCCGGUGGCGAAGGCGGCACGCUGGACCUCUUCUGACGCUGAGGCGCGGAAAGCCAGGGGAGCAAAACGGG
rnacentral:rRNA from 1 species